rnacentral:rRNA from 1 species
CCAUCCCCAGUGAGGAAUAUUGGUCAAUGGGCGCGAGCCUGAACCAGCCAUCCCGCGUGCAGGAAGACGGCCCUAUGGGUUGUAAACUGCUUUUGUGCAGGAAGAAUGUGCCCAUCGUGAUGGGUAGUGACGGUACUGCAUGAAUAAGCACCGGCUAACUCCGUGCCAGCAGCCGCGGUAAUACGGAGGGUGCRAGCGUUAUCCGGAUUUAUUGGGUUUAAAGGGUGCGUAGGCGGUAAAAUAAGUCAGUGGUGAAAAGCUGCAGCUCAACUGUAGUCCUGCCAUYGAAACUGUUUKACUUGAGUAACCRUGAGGUAGGCGGAAUGUGUAGUGUAGCGGUGAAAUGCUUAGAUAUUACACAGAACACCGAUYGCGUAGGCAGCUUACUAGAGGUUCACUGACGCUGAUGCACGAAAGCGUGGGGAUCAAACAGGAUUAGAUACCCUGGUAGUCCAGCGCCGUAAAGCGAUGAUAACUCGCUGUUGGCGAUACACAGUCAGCGGCKYAGCGAA